UUACCUGAUAUUCCAAGCUUACCGUAUUGUAAUGAAUCUUCAGAUUCGACAUACAGAACACGGCAAGUAAACAAGCCUUCAUCAAAAUGCUCCUAAUCUUGGUAUUCUCUAUUCUUAAUCAACCAUUCGACGCAGCGCUUGGUGAUGGAACUUGCCGGCCAAUACUUCGAAAUGCAUGUCCCUAUCAAAUAUCCGAGCAUACAGGUGAAUUCGUUCAGCUUGUCGCGAAGUAUUUAACACGUGAUCACCCAGAAUAUGACGUCAGAGUGCCGCCAGAAGCAAGGGACAAAAUUAACAUGUAUUGUGCAC